UGCUUUACACAUGCAAGUCGAACGGCAGCACGGGGGGGUAACUCUCUGGUGGCGAGUGGCGAACGGGUGAGUAAUACAUCGGAACGUGUCCUGUAGUGGGGGAUAACCCACCGAAAGGUGAGCUAAUACCGCAUACGAUCUCAGGAUGAAAGCGGGGGACCUUCGGGCCUCGCGUUAUAGGAGCGGCCGAUGUCGGAUUAGCUAGUUGGUGGGGUAAAGGCCUACCAAGGCGACGAUCUGUAGCGGGUCUGAGAGGACGGCCCGCCACACUGGGACUGAGACACGGCCCAGACUCCUACGGGAGGCAGCAGUGGGGAAUUUUGGACAAUGGGGGCAACCCUGAUCCAGCCAUGCCGCGUGAGUGAAGAAGGCCUUCGGGUUGUAAAGCUC
rnacentral:rRNA from 1 species